GGGAGGCCAUGUCUAUAGUCAGAUGGCACACCUUCAGGGGCAGAGGAGACGGGCAGUAGACUAUUCCCAAAAUUUAAGAGAAGAGUUUUUAUUUAGGAAUGCUGAUACUGCAUCCUAGGCCACCACUGAUUCACUCAAAAUAUGAGUCUGUACUGUGUGGCAGGGACUUCUUUCUGUAGUGAUCUGGGUUCUAAAAACCUUGACUUUAAUCAGCCAUGCCCACCCAGUUGGAAGGGACAUCUUCCAGCUGCCUUUGCAUAAAUAUGUGGCCAGUGACUAGAACACAGAUAUGGCCAUACAGCCAGCCAGCUUUGACUUUGGAGCAUGAGAGUAAUACCCAACACUGUGGCAAACAAAAGGAGAGAAGAAACCUGGGUCCCUGCAUGACUAUGUGCAGCUUAGCCACCUACCUGCCCUGAACCAGCUUCUUUCCUUUGUUUGAGCCAUUAUAUUCUGAGUUUCUGUUAAAUCAGCUUAUCCUGCAUCCUAAUACAGAGUGU